rnacentral:lncRNA from 1 species
CUCAACAAAUUAGACAUAUGAGAAUGUUCUAGAAGGAUACUUACAUCAAUUCCUUUCUACCUUCACAUAUUUCCAACUUAUAUCACUACAAAAGACUGGACAUUUCUUCUUAUAUGCAAGCCAAUGUGGUCUGCAUGCAAUGCUCUGUCAACUUCUUUUGAGUCUAAAAAUAUAUGAUGUAAACAAAACUGUUCGCAGACUUGAGGUAACCGGUCGAAGGAAUGGAUGGUUUUCCAUUGGCAGCCAUUCCACCCACAGAUUCUCAUUUAAAUCUCUUCUUUCUUUAUCAUGCCCAGGAAACUAAGAAGAGAAAGAGGAAGUUCCUCAACUGAAGAGAACUCUGCACCAUGUGACUCUAUAAAUAAGUGUGAAGAGUACAGCUGGAUAAGGUCGAGCAAAGGAGAGGAACUUUCUGUAGACUACUUAGGAAAACCACAGAAGAAAAAUGGCAGAUUCAUGAGAACCUCAUGGAUUUCCCCCAGAAAUGCCCUCUGAUGGCUCAUUCCAGGGAAUUGAUAAAGCUGAAAUCAAAGGAUCUACUAACGUCUACAGUAAGCAAGAGACAAAUGGGAAAAGUAUGCAUACUGCUUUUGUCUUUGGUAAUUGACAUGUUAACUGUCCCGUAGAAGUCAAGAGAUAUAAAUUCCAUUCAUAGAGGAAUCUUAAAGAAACUCUAGUGUUCUAAGAAUCUAACAAUACAAGCAAAUUUAUUUCACUUUAUCUCUCCCCACUCCCUAGAGACCAAAACAAAAACAAAACAAAGGACUUCAACAAAAAAAUACUACAUAGCAACAGGAGUUGAAUCUGCUGUUUGCAUCACAGAGUGCCAGAACUAAGCUGAGCAUGGUGAUCUGGGACUGUGAAAGCAAGUGGAGCUCAACACCAUCCUGGGCUGCCAGGAAUUGGUGAGGCCAACUAAUCUCCAUGAGACACUAUCACAAAAUUAAACAGAUAAGAAAAAUAUGGG